AGGUUCGCGUCGACUGUUCAGCAUUGUUCCACCAGCAACAAAUAAUACGAGCCCUUCCAACAAAAACUGACAGUAUCCAUUGUCAAGGUGUGGCGCUUUUACUCGGAGACGAGGUGACCAAUUACGACAGUGGUUUCAAGUCGCGUGUUCGUCUCCGCUGUGCUGUGCGCCGCUGCCACCUCGUCGUCCUGCUUCGUCGUCCGUCUGCCGUCGCCCGUGCAAG